rnacentral:rRNA from 1 species
CCUACGGGUGGCAGCAGUGGGGAAUAUUGCACAAUGGGGGAAACCCUGAUGCAGCGACGCCGCGUGAGUGAAGAAGUAUUUCGGUACGUAAAGCUCUAUCAGCAGGGAAGAAAAUGACGGUACCUGACUAAGAAGCCCCGGCUAACUACGUGCCAGCAGCCGCGGUAAUACGUAGGGGGCAAGCGUUAUCCGGAUUUACUGGGUGUAAAGGGAGCGUAGACGGUGCGGCAAGUCUGGAGUGAAAUGUCGCGGCUAAACCGCGGAACUGCAUUGGAAACUGGCGAACUGGAGUGCAGGAGGGGUAAGCGGAAGUCCUAGUGUAGCGGUGAAAUGCGUAGAUAUUAGGAGGAACACCAGUGGCGAAGGCGGCUUACUGGACUGUAACUGACGUUGAGGCUCGAAAGCGUGGGGAGCAAACAGGAUUAGAUACCCGUGUAGUC